rnacentral:misc_RNA from 1 species
ACUCAACAUCACUUAAACAUACAAUAACAGUCUAAACAUUAAGAUUAAAAGACUAAACAUUAUGCAGAAAAGAAAGGAAGAAAGGAUAAAUAAAUAAAUAAACUCUCGAUUAUCAACAAUUUCCACCGCACGUCAAUUAUGUCAAAAUGAUCAGAAGCUAUUAAAUCUGUAGUGCAGCUGCUAUCGAACUGGCAAGGCUAAGAACCUCAAAUGGUGGUUUGUUUAUCACCUCUUUCACUGUCAAUGGGCAAGAAUCUGUAAUCCAGAAGUAGGUCAGCCCUUUCCCAGGAUGACCUCCAUUAUCAAAUUCAAAGCGUUCCCAUGACCUAUUAGGAAAAAUCCCAUGUGUUACAUAGGCACUUAUUCUUGCAGCUCCGUGCUUGGCCAAUACUUUCUGGCAUUCAACAAGAGUGCCACCUGACUGAACUAAAUCAUCAACAAUCACAACAUGUCUUCCUUGAGGGUCCCCCUCCUUAAUACGAACAAUUCUUUGGCUUCCUUCCCGAACUUUAGCACAAACAAUCGUGGGGAAAUGCUGCAGCUGCUUGUGAAAUCGUUUCCAUGCCCCAUCAUCAGGAAAAGCUAUAGCUAUAUUAUCAGAAUCAGGAAGCUGCUGAAGCCGAUUUUUGAGCAAAGGUAUCCCACUCUCAAAGCAGGGUAGAAUAUUAUCACCAAAGUAGAACCUCUCCUGCAAGGCGUGGAUAUCGAAAGUCACUAAGCUAGUAGGACCUCCCCUUGAAGUGGGUAUGUUAGACAAGAUCCUUGCGAGAGUAAAAGCCGUGGCUACAUCUCCUUCAUCCUCCAUACGCUCAGAGGUGCCAGUAGGGAAAAAUGGAAGGACGAGAGUGAAAGAAGAAAUGAACAAUUUGGGCAAUGCAUAUAUUAUGGAAAGCUGCUCGAAAAUCACUUUCGGAGAACUAAAAGAGGCCAGGAAAGCUACGUGCUGCCCGCGAAUCGCUUGCGCAUUGGGUAUAAACAAGUUGGGAAAUCCAUCCUCAAAUGUCCUCCAAGUGAUGGAGCAGAGCUCAAUGACGUCAGACUCGGCGGCGAUUCGCUGGGCCAACGCCCUAGUCUCGUGGCAGUUAAAAAGGCACACCCUUUUCACAUUCUUGGAGGCUGAAUCGGAGACAGAAGUGGCGGCCAUUGAAACAGAAGUGGAAAGAGAAAGAGAGGAGCUUUGAAUAGAAGGAAUGCGAUCGGUGCCAGAGGGAAACCCAACGCUCAAAUUCUGAGGAAGAUUGUCGCACCUAAUAGUAAUGCCACGGUUGGUCAAAAUUUUGGCUUGAGAUGGAUUCACCGGGAGAAGGGAAGAAAGGUUUGGAGCUCUGGCGGUGUUAAUUGAGAGUGGGGAUUGGAGUGGUGAGGUGGCCGCCAUAUGUGGCGGGUCACUGCUAGAUGGCGGAGUCUCUGUUUGCCCCCCUCUGCAACUGAAGAAGGAUGUGACACCGGCCGGUUAUUAAAGGCACGUUUUUUAGGUCAUGGAAGGAGACGUCAGACCAUUUUGCGUUGGGUCCAAAUCCAAUUGGCCAUUUCGGUGGAGGAAU